rnacentral:lncRNA from 1 species
GUGCUACUCAGCACAAAAGUUAAAGGAGCAAUCGGGAACGCGUCGCGCCUGUGUGCUGAGCAGAGGACACCAUUAGCCCCGAGAAGCUCCGCUGCUCGGCUCGUCCCUCCUUGCCCGGGAAGUGCAGCUUCCAGGGAGGGACGGGAGCGAGCCUGCUGGGCCCGGGAAGCCCCCAGCGCCGCAGCCGCUGGCCGAGCCGGCUCUUGAAUGCAGAGCUGCCCCGGCGCCCGGCUGGCUCAGCCCGAUGCAGGAGCCUCCCCGCGGGCUCGGGACCCAGAUCGCCCCCGAGGCAGCUCCGGAGUUACUUUCCCUCUUGCAGGAGACCGAGACAGACCGAUGGUGAUGGGCGGUGCUGUGGGCUCGCGCCGGUGUCUCCCCGUCGUGUGACAUGCCCUAGCCGGGGUCCUAGCCGGGUCCCUGCGGACCACGAAGGGUGCGUGGCGGCCUCGGGAUGAGCCGGCGCACCCCCCCGCGCUGGCACCUCUCGCUGCCCCUCCGCGCGUGAUGUAACAUCAGACGUACCCUGCACUGGGAAGUCAGGACACACGAGCGCUCGCCGGCGCUCAGCCCCUCGCUCGCGCUCGCGCUCGCGCUCUCCCUCCCCGUGUCUCACGCGCGCAUCCCUCCACCUUCCACAUCCUGCUCCAGGCAGGAGGAGGCGGACCGGCCGGGCUCCUCGAGCCGAAGCAUCUCCAGUGACAUUUGUAAAUGACGCCGCGCGGGUCGGGGCCGCGAGCCGCCGCCGCCGCCGCCGCCGGGCCGAGGGCGCCGCGGAGCAGUCUGCAACGCGGGCUUCCUCCCCGGGCGACCACGAUGUCCGAGUUCGUCCUCGCCGUCCUCACGGUCUCGGGAUUACUGCCUGUCGCCAAGGUGCUGCCUGUGGGAGCCGACCGAGUAACUUUUAUGACCUACAUGCAAGCCAGAAGUAUUUAAUGUGAAUUGAAUGGAUAGGAAUAGAGAUCUCUUUCAGAGCAGUGGAUGAAAUCUUC